rnacentral:rRNA from 1 species
GAUGAACGCUGGCGGCGUGCCUAAUACAUGCAAGUCGAGCGAACAGACGAGGAGCUUGCUCCUCUGACGUUAGCGGCGGACGGGUGAGUAACACGUGGAUAACCUACCUAUAAGACUGGGAUAACUUCGGGAAACCGGAGCUAAUACCGGAUAAUAUAUUGAACCGCAUGGUUCAAUAGUGAAAGACGGUUUUGCUGUCACUUAUCGAUGGAUCCGCGCCGGAUUAGCUAGUUGGUAAGGUAACGGCUUACCAGUGCAACGAUGCGUAGCCGACCUGAGAGCGGGUUCGCCCACUGUGAAGCUGACACACGGCCCUGGCCCUGACGUGAGGCAGCGGCUGCUACGCGUCCGCACAGGGCGAAAUCUUGCCGGAUCGACGCCGCCCGGGUGAUGAAGGUCUGCGGUCCGUAUAACGGUGUUCUUAUGGAAGAACAAAUGCGUAAGUAACGAUGCACGUCUUGCCGUUACCUAAUCAGAAAGCCCCGGCUACUUCCGU